rnacentral:sRNA from 1 species
CUUUUUUUAAACGACACACACGUUCCGACACAGUGAUCUGGGUGCCUAAAGGCGUAAUAUUAGCUUGACUGGUUGAUCUACUGGGGUACGUGGAGGCUUAAC